rnacentral:rRNA from 1 species
CGUUAGCGGCGCGCCUAACACAUGCAAGUCGCACGAGAAAGGGAGCAAUCCCCGGUACAGUGGCGCACGGGUGAGUAACACGUAGAUGACCUUCCCUGGAGUGGUGGAUAACCUGCCGAAGGGCGGGCUAAUACAGCAUGGGACCACAUGGUUUUGACCCGAGUGGUGAAAGCGGGCCUCUGUUCACAAGCUCGCGCUCUGGGAUGGGUCUGCGUCCCAUCAGCUAGUUGGUGAGGUAAUGGCUCACCAAGGCAUCGACGGGUAGCUGGUCUGAGAGGAUGACCAGCCACACUGGAACUGAGACACGGUCCAGACUCCUACGGGAGGCAGCAGUGGGGAAUCUUGCGCAAUGGGCGAAAGCCUGACGCAGCGACGCCGCGUGGGUGAUGAAGGCCUUCGGGUUGUAAAGCCCUGUGGGGAGGAACGAACCGUACGGGGGCGAACACCCUCCGUACCUGACGGUACCUCCUUAGCAAGCAUCGGCUAACUCUGUG